rnacentral:rRNA from 1 species
UACGAAGGGGGCUAGCGUUGUUCGGAAUUACUGGGCGUAAAGCGCACGUAGGCGGAUUGUUAAGUCAGAGGUGAAAUCCCGGAGCUCAACUUCGGAACUGCCUUUGAUACUGGCAAUCUAGAGUCCGGAAGAGGUUAGUGGAAUUCCCAGUGUAGAGGUGAAAUUCGUAGAUAUUGGGAAGAACACCAGUGGCGAAGGCGGCUAACUGGUCCGGUACUGACGCUGAGGUGCGAAGGCGUGGGGAGCGAACGGG